rnacentral:rRNA from 1 species
UACGUAGGGUGCAAGCGUUGUCCGGAAUUAUUGGGCGUAAGGAGCUCGUAGGCGGUCUGUCGCGUCGGCUGUGAAAACCCGGGGCUCAACCCCGGGCCUGCAGUCGAUACGGGCAGACUAGAGUGUGGUAGGGGAGACUGGAAUUCCUGGUGUAGCGGUGGAAUGCGCAGAUAUCAGGAGGAACACCGGUGGCGAAGGCGGGUCUCUGGGCCAUAACUGACGCUGAGGAGCGAAAGCGUGGGGAGCGAACAGG